ACAAGCACCUCACUAGUACGCCACUCUACGCCGAGCUCUCGCCUCGAUCACUCACGUCCAUCGCUCGCUCCCGACCGUCACAACUUACUACCAGUGCUAUAUUACUCGAAAGUGAUCAUCAGUGAUAACACAAUGUGCGAAAGAAGGAUAAGGAAAAUCAAAAAAGGGUCCCACAUGACCAGGCUGCGUGAGACACGGCGCCUGCAAAGACUGCAGCGCAUCGUGACGACUCCGCCCCCGCCGGAGGAGCCCCUGGCGCCUUGCCCGGAGCCCGCCGUCGACAAGACCGCCCAAUGCCGCCUCAUCCUCGAACUAGCCCUAAAGACCAUUAACUUAAUGCAGAAGAACAGCAUGAUUCAGCAGAAAAUUAUCGCACUACAGAAGGAAACUUCAGAUUUCGUUGCGCAAGUGAUGAGCAACCCUGAGAACAAGAAGCGGUACCUGGAGCACCUCCGCUUACACGGAUCGGCGGCCGCGCAGCCGGUGCACGCGCAGGUCAGCUUCCUCCCCGCCACCGCCAAUCUAGAGCCUGGAGCCUAAACAUACGAACACCAUGCGUUUGGGUUGAAGCGCGACACUGACUGAAACAUUAAUGGACGGGUGAUGUUAGUUAAGUUAUUCUUUAGUAUCGCCAUGCGUCUGGCUUUAUAGUUAGUAAUAAUGAACAGAAGAUAAAUGCACAAGCGCUGAAAAUGUUGAUGAAGCUUAUUAUCGCGUGUAAUUAGGGUAAGUAAUUUGAAAUGCGUAGAACGUUACCUAUUUGUAAGAAAUUCGCUAAGUAUAUUACUACCUAAAGUUCUACCUGUAAGUACCUACCUCCUACAAAAGGCUAAGUUAGUUUUCACGGUGACACUGAGAACUAUAUUGGCCUUUUAUAUUAUUUAUUUUUCAAGUCGUUGCUUAUUUCAUGGUUAUUUCUACUAUCUUUUUCUUCUAUGUGAGGUGGAUAACCAACCUCAUCACCCUUGGUCUCAGGAUUAUUAUCGAGCCGCCAAAGGCCCCUUAUUGUUAAAAUUUUAAAUUGUCUUUAAAUUGAAUUCCAUUGACUAAUAUAGCGAUUGUAAGUUUGUCUGUAAUGUACAUUUUGGAUUAAAACGAUAAAGUUUAAAACGCAUUUUGCGGAAAUAAAGAAGCUGGAACCAUGACAUUUUCAUUUUUUAAAUUAUGAGACCAGUGCCAAGUCGUUCAUCUGAAAUUUUUUAGGUGCGUCAUGAAGAAUAGGGUAUUUGACUGCGUCAACAAAAAUUCUAUCCGGUCUAAGAUGAUCAAAAAUCAACUUCGUUUUACUUUAUAACUUAUUAUCGGAUUUUAUUUAUGAAUUAAGUAAUAAUGAGUAAGUACGACGAUUGACUGCUUUUAUUGAUGACGUCACAGGACAGUAUUUCCAUACAAACUCCAAAGAAAAUUUUCGUUUUGACGUUUCGUAAAAAGUAUCAUUUGACUAGGUUGUCAAGUAGCCUAUUGUUCUCCUUUAUCUUUUAGACGUAGGUAGUGAUGGCUCAAGUCGUUACCUGUCGGCUUUUGCCAUAAAAAAUAAUUACCUAAUAUUGUAAGAAGCUUAUUUUAUAAAGAUUUUAAAAAAAAUCUGUAUGGGCUAGUUUUCCCUUCGCAGAUUGGAAGGUUAGACAGGCAGUCGCUGCUGUGAAAGCUGACCUGUCAAAUCCUCGAUUAGAUAACCCCUUGAAAAAGGGCUAACGCCUAGGGAGAUAAUGAUGAUUUUGUAAAGGCUUUUAACAUUCUAACUAUAGGUAAUUGCGACAGUAAAGGUAGCGGUUGUAAAUACGGUUAAUUGCUAGCGUACUUUUUAUCGCUUGGUAUAUCUUAAUAUAAGUUUCAGUUUUGCUGUAAUAACAUACAGUAACUGAAUUUGUUUCAUGUUUACAUACUAACAUUGCUAGAAAGCAAAAGUUUAAAAUAUACUGUAGAUUAUAAGUAUGCAUGAUAAACAUCACAAUGUUAUAACGUUAUAAUUUAAAGUUCUUAAGAGUUUAGGUGUGAGUUCGGGUUAAAUCAGUACAAUUAUGUUGCCUGUAAGGAUGUGAUGUGUGAAUCUUUGAUUCUUGAAAUACAGUUUACAACAACUGGGUGUCACAAAAGGAAGGAAAUCGUUGUCUUCAUUUCUUAAAAGUUUGAUGUAAGUAAUUAGCUUUUUGUGGGUGACUUCCGCAUGUGCUAUGCACUAGUCUAAGUGGCGCGAGUUACGCGCAUAUUCAAACCACAGAAUACUUUUUCGUGUGUUUAAGUGCGUUUAGGGUAGGUCUGUAUCCACCAAACAAAAAUACUCUGUGGCACAUAAGUAACUCGCGCCAUCUAAUCAAGGGCUUUUUUGCCAAUAGUACCUAACAUUUAUACAUCAAUGUUAUUUGUAUAAUGUGGGUAGUCCUACAGCUCAACGUUGCGUGUAACACUGCCUUACUGAAACUAUCGCAAUAGGGGACUGAGUCAAAGAUAAAUUGUAAAAAGACAUAGAAGCCAGUCUAAGAUAAUAAAAAAUCAAUCUCAUCUUACAUUUCGACUUAUUUUCGAAUUUUAUUUAUGAAUUAAGUAACAACGAGUACGACGUUUGACCGCUUUUAUUGAUGACGUCAUAGGACAGUGUUUCAAUACAAACUCCAAAGAAAACUUCCGUUUUGGCGUUUCGUAAAAAGUAGUUCAUUUGACUAGGUUGUCUAGCCUAUUUCACAUUUUUAACAUAUAAUUACAGAUUUGUAUUCCUGUGUGUUCGUUUAAAUUAUUUAGUAUAGACAUGGAACAGAUCUCUUUGGAAUAUAUUUUUUGACGAUUGUCCUUAUAUUUGUCAUUUUAUUUUGUGCCGAUUUUGUUUGCAUUUAAUAGAGAAUAGUGUAAAUAUUCAUGAAGAAAUACGAAUCGCUUUGCUAUUGAUUCUUAAAUAUACACGAACACUGAAUGAUCCAGUUUGUUUCGUACACGUACUAUAUUUAUAGGUUUAGAAUAAGAUGUAUCAUUUGCACAGAUAUUGCCAAAAGCUGUAUUCAUUUUAAAUAAGUAUAGAAAUACAUCGCACUUUGAAAACAUUAGCGGCGCUACCAAAAAUUUGGUUUUGGUUUAAUUUUAGAUUGGAGAACAUGCUAUUUUAGGUAGUUUUUUUUUCAUCUAAGGGUGAAUAAUUCCACAUUUUCAGUUGCAUCACUAUUGUUGUUAAAGUGCGAGUCAUGUGUGUAGUGUGUAUUUUAAACGCUGAAUAGAUGUAGUUAAUACUUUAAAAACAUUUAAUUUUAUGCCUACGUAUAAUAUGGCUACAUGUAUUGGCUAAAUUACUUUGUAAUCUUUAAAUAUAACUAUCUUCAUUUAAAGAUAAAUAGACAUAAGUAACCUAAAUAAACAAAAUCAUGUUUUGUGAGUAAUCGGGAGCACAUUUGGCGUUUUUAAUGUAAUGUCCUGAAUAAGUAUUAACUUUAGACUGGAAUAAUUGUUAUUUAUUGCAUAAGACUCCCGUCUCGAGGUGAAUAUUUGUAGUAAUUGAUAAUCACUUUACUUGAUUUCAUUAAAUAAACUAGUCUUUCUUUAAUAUUUA
rnacentral:misc_RNA from 1 species